rnacentral:rRNA from 1 species
UCCUGGCUCAGAGCGAACGUUAGCGGCGGGCUUAACACAUGCAAGUCGAGCGAGAAAGGGGCUUCGGCCCUGAGUACAGCGGCGGACGGGUGAAUAACACGUAGGUAACCUUCCUUCCAGCGGGGACAACGGUCCGAAAGGACCGCUAAUACCGCAUACGUUCCCUGGGACCCUGGUCCCGGGGAGGAAAGCUCCGCAAGGGGCACUGGAUGAGGGGCCUGCGUAGCAUCAGCUAGUUGGUGGGGUAAUGGCCUACCAAGGCUAAGACGCUUAGCUGGUCUGAGAGGAUGAUCAGCCACACUGGGACUGAGACACGGCCCAGACUCCUACGGGAGGCAGCAGUGGGGAAUAUUGGACAAUGGGCGCAAGCCUGAUCCAGCCACGCCGCGUGAGUGAUGAAGGCCUUCGGGUCGUAAAGCUCUGUGGGGAGGGACGAAUGGCGCCGUGAAGAGCGGCGAGUGACGGUACCUCCUUAGCAAGCACCGGCUAACUUCGUG